rfam:Borrelia duttonii CR2A Contig0001, whole genome shotgun sequence.
GCCCUUAUAGCUUAGGUGGUAGAGCACCACCAUGGUAAGGUGGCGGCAUCGGUUCAAAUCCGAUUGAGGGCU